GACGAACGCUGGCGGCGUGCCUAAUACAUGCAAGUAGAACGCUGAAGGAGGAGCUUGCUUCUCUGGAUGAGUUGCGAACGGGUGAGUAACGCGUAGGUAACCUGCCUGGUAGCGGGGGAUAACUAUUGGAAACGAUAGCUAAUACCGCAUAAGAGUAGAUGUUGCAUGACAUUUGCUUAAAAGGUGCAAUUGCAUCACUACCAGAUGGACCUGCGUUGUAUUAGCUAGUUGGUGGGGUAACGGCGCACCAAGGCGACGAUACAUAGCCGACCUGAGAGGGGGAUCGGCCGCACUGGGACUGUGACACGGCCCAGACGCCUACGGGUGGCAGCAGUAGGGAUACGUCAGGAAUGGACGGAGGACAGACCGAGAAACGCCGCGGGAGUGAGGAGGGUUUUCGGGUCGUAAAGCACGGUUGUAAGGGAGGAACGAGUGUGAGAGUGGGAAGUUCACACUGUGACGGUAACUGACCAGAAAGGAACGGCUAACUACGUG
rnacentral:rRNA from 1 species